CCUACGGGAGGCAGCAGUGGGGAAUAUUGGACAAUGGGGGCAACCCUGAUCCAGCCAUGCCGCGUGUGUGAAGAAGGCCCUCGGGUUGUAAAGCACUUUCAGUGAGGAAGAACGCCUGGUGGUUAAUACCCAUCAGGAAAGACAUCACUCACAGAAGAAGCACCGGCUAACUCCGUGCCAGCAGCCGCGGUAAUACGGAGGGUGCGAGCGUUAAUCGGAAUUACUGGGCGGAAAGCGCGCGUAGGUGGCUUGAUAAGCCGGUUGUGAAAGCCCCGGGCUCAACCUGGGAACGGCAUCCGGAACUAUCAAGCUAGAGUGCAGGAGAGGAAGGUAGAAUUCCCGGUGUAGCGGUGAAAUGCGUAGAGAUCGGGAGGAAUACCAGUGGCGAAGGCGGCCUUCUGGACUGACACUGACACUGAGGUGCGAAAGCGUGGGUAGCAAACAGGAUUAGAUACCCGUGUAGUC
rnacentral:rRNA from 1 species